CUGCUGUUGGAAGCAGCUCUCUCUCCAAAGGGCUGUGGUUCCAGAUCUGAUUGGAGCUUGAUAGAUAUCAGAUGAAGCUGGAAUCCAGAGCUUUGCCAAAUCAUAUUGGUGCCACAAAACACUGGGAAUAGAGCUGGGACUUUGCCCCUCUGUCGUUGGCAUGCGUGCCUUCUCAGCCAAUCCGUGGACAGUCUUGUGCUCUAGAAACCAGCUGCUGGGUUCCAGUCCCAGCCCGACCACUUCCUAAUUGUGUGGUUUUUAUGCAGGUGACUUCACCUUUCCAGGCCGCAAUGAUCCUGGUCUGUAAAACGGGGCAGAUGAGUUCCUCCCUCACAGGGUGGUUGUGCCGAUGAAAAUACUUCCCAGAUCUAAAGUGCUUCGAGUGCUGCUGACCCUUGGUUGAUUGUCAGCUGUUCUGAGCAGUGAAGCCCAGAUGCCCAGAGUGUGCUGGCCACUUGGGUCUGAGACCAUCAGGGAGGACAGUGCUGACUGAUGGAAGAUGCAGAAUAACAGAGGGACAGAACCCGUAGCUGUGGUGUCACCGAGCUCCUGAAUUAACCCACGUGGAACCGCCUGCCUCUGGACCUGUUGUGUUGUGAUUUUCCUUGUCAUUUAAGUCAGUUGAAACCUCAGACAGUUCCUUAUCCCCUGACGAGACCCUACCAAGAUGCAGCAAAAGCCUCCUAAUCACUGUCCAUCCCCUUCUGUGGAUUGCUCCCCAGUUAGAGCAACGAUCCCCGUAUGGACAGCCGAGCGCACACCCCAGUUUGCCUGAG
rnacentral:lncRNA from 1 species